GAAAAAUCAGGAGGGAAUUGUCCCCUUACUGACCUCAGAUGAACAUUUGAUAAACUAUUGAUUCCUUUGGUUAUUUAUUACUUAUGGCAUGCAUAUAAGUGAGCAUAUAUUUAUGACCUCAUGGCUUACAUACAUUGCAUUUUAUCUGUAUAAAACAUGUGUUUUAUUUGACAGGCAGCUAACCUGGGUUAAAAAUGAGGUUCUAAAGUGCAGUUCGAACUUGUGUUCUUAAAAGACCUAUCUGCCACAUGAAAGGAUGGUCCUUCCAACCAUCGGCUCUGGCUUUGCUGAACUCGUCAAACCAUGUCUUAUCAUAGUGCCUAGAUACAAAGAUAACUGCAAAUAUCAUGUCAGAAGUCACAUUUUAUGGGCUCUUGACUGUGCUUGGUGGAGCCCUGAUACCUGGAGCCCCGCCUGUGGGACCACUUCCCUCCCCAGCGCACAGCCUUAGUAGUGGGAGGACCAGCUAAGACCUAAGUCAAGACCUUAUCCUUGAGGGUAAGUGUUUCAAUUUUAUUAAGUUAAAGGACCACUUUUUAACUGUACAGGAUCUGGAACUAGAUUUCAGGGUUAAAAUAUUCGCUUUGCUAUAUACCUUUUUAAAAAAUUAUUUAUUAUUGGCUGCACUGGGCCUUCAUUGUUGUGCUUUCUCUAGUUGGGUGAGUGGAGGCCGCUCGCUAGUUGCGGUGACUUCUCUUAUGGCAAAGCUGGGCCCCAGGGCACACAGGCUUCAGUAGUUGCAGCACGUGGGCUUUGUUGCCCCGAGGCAUGUGGAAUCUUCUGGGACCAGGGAUUAAACCCAUGUCCCCUGCAUUGGUUGAUGGAUUCUUAACCACUGGACCACUAGGGAAGUCCUUUUGUGAGACUGCAGACAAGUCAUUUUACCUCUUCUUGCUUCAGCAUCUUGCUCAUUUAUAAAUGAAAGUAAUAAUAGUCUUAUCUCA
rnacentral:lncRNA from 1 species